rnacentral:rRNA from 1 species
AGGAUAAACGCUGGCGGCGUGCCUAACACAUGCAAGUCGAACGUCUCUUCUUUCGGGAAGAGGAGUGGCGGACGGGUGAGGAACACGUGGGAACCUGCCCUUUAGUGAGGAAUACCGGCGAGAAAUCGCCGACAAGACCGCAUAGCCCUCUUUGAUGAGAGUCAAAGAAGGAAAGCUUCGCAAGAGGCGCUAGAGGAGGGGCCUGCGUCCGAUUAGCUAGUUGGUGGGGUAAGAGCCUACCAAGGCGUCGAUCGGUAGCUGGUCUGAGAGGACGAUCAGCCACACUGGGAUUGAGAACGGCCCAGACUCCUACGGGGGGCAGCAGUGAGGAAUUUUCGGCAAUGGGGGAAACCCUGACCGAGCAACGCGCGUGCAGGAAGACGGCCUUCGGGUUGUAACUGCUUUUCUUUGGGACGAGAACGGCGGUACCAGAGGAAUCAGCCCCGGCUCACUACGUGCCAGCAGCCGC